rnacentral:rRNA from 1 species
GACGAACGCUGGCGGCGUGCCUAAUACAUGCAAGUAGAACGCACAGUUUAUACCGUAGCUUGCUACACCAUAGACUGUGAGUUGCGAACGGGUGAGUAACGCGUAGGUAACCUGCCUGGUAGCGGGGGAUAACUAUUGGAAACGAUAGCUAAUACCGCAUAAUAUUAAUUAUUGCAUGAUAAUUAAUUGAAAGGUGCAAUUGCACCACUACCAGAUGGACCUGCGUUGUAUUAGCUAGUAGGUGAGGUAACGGCUCACCUAGGCGACGAUACAUAGCCGACCUGAGAGGGGGAUCGGCCACACUGGGACUGAGACACGGCCCAGACUCCUACGGGAGGCAGCAGUAGGGAAUCUUCGGCAAUGGACGAAAGUCUGACCGAGCAACGCCGCGUGAGUGAAGAAGGGUUUCGGAUCGUAAAGCUCUGUUGUAAGAGAAGAACGGGUGUGAGAGUGGAAAGUUCACACUGUGACGGUAUCUUACCAGAAAGGGACGGCUAACUACGUG